rnacentral:snRNA from 1 species
GUGUUCGCUUCAGCAGCACAUAUACUAAAAUUGGAAUGAUAACAUGGCCCCUGUGCAAGGAUGGCAUGCAAAUUCAUGAAGCGUUCCAUAUUUUU